rnacentral:rRNA from 1 species
AUGCAUCGGCGCUGUCCCACGCAACGCCACCGCACAGCUCAGUUCCGGCCCUCCUUUAUAAGCCCCGCCGCGCCUCUCCAUCGCUCCCCCACCCACACACAGCUCACAGCGCAGGCAGAGGAAGCGAGAAGCGAGCCACCAAGAAACCACCCAAAGGUUUGCACAAUGGCCGCUUCUCAGCUCACCAUCCUCUCCGUCCUCGCGCUCCUGGCCGUGGCCGCGACCGCUCAGGCGCCCGGAGCGGCCCCCGCGGCAGCGCCCCAGGCCCCGCCUCCCCCGCCGGCGACCCCGCCCCCGGCAAUGGCGCCCCCUACCCCGGCGCCUGUGUCCCCGCCCCCUACCGCGGCCCCUGCGCCCGCGCCCACCGUCGCCCCCACGCCCUCCGCCACCGCGCCGGCGCCCGCCGACUCCCCGAUGUCCUCCCCUCCGGCGCCCACCCCGGACAUGUCGCCCUCGCCCACCGCCGAGCCCGCCACCCCGGGCAGCGGGGCCGCUGGUCUCAGCCCCGCCUUCGUGUUGGCCGCCGCCGCGGUCGCCAUCUACGCCUUCUAG